rnacentral:rRNA from 1 species
GAUGAACGCUGGCGGCGUGCCUAAUACAUGCAAGUCGAGCGAACAGACGAGGAGCUUGCUCCUCUGACGUUAGCGGCGGACGGGUGAGUAACACGUGGAUAACCUACCUAUAAGACUGGGAUAACUUCGGGAAACCGGAGCUAAUACCGGAUAAUAUAUUGAACCGCAUGGUUCAAUAGUGAAAGACGGUUUUGCUGUCACUUAUAGAUGGAUCCGCGCCGCAUUAGCCAGUUGGUAAGGUAACGGCUUACCAAGGCAACGAUGCGUAGCCGACCUGAGAGGGUGAUCGGCCACACUGGAACUGAGACACGGUCCAGACUCCUGCGGGAGGCAGCAGUAGGGAAUCUUCCGCAAUGGGCGAAAGCCUGACGGAGCGACGCCGCGUGAGUGAUGAAGGUCUUCGGAUCGUAAAGCUCUGUUAUUAGGGAAGACCAAAUGUGUAAGUAACUAUGCACGUCUUGACGGUACCUAAUCAGAAAGCCACGGCUAACUACGUG